rnacentral:rRNA from 1 species
AUACGGAGGGUGCAAGCGUUAUUCGGAAUCACUGGGCGUAAAGGACGCGUAGGCGGGUUGGCAAGUCAGAUGUGAAAUCCUACAGCUUAACUGUAGAACUGCAUUUGAAACUGCUAACCUAGAGUAUGGGAGGGGGAGAUGGAAUUAGUGGUGUAGGGGUAAAAUCCGUAGAUAUCAAUAGGAAUACCGAAAGCGAAGGCGAUCUACUGGAACAUAACUGACGCUAAGGCGUGAAAGCGUGGGGAGCAAACAGGAUUAGAUACCCUAGUAGUCC